rnacentral:rRNA from 1 species
CUAGUUGGGGGGGUAAGAGCCUCCCAAGGCGACGAUCGGUAGCUGGUCUGAGAGGACGAUCAGCCACACUGGGAUUGAGAACGGCCCAGACUCCUACGGGGGGCAGCAGUGAGGAAUUUUCCGCAAUGGACGCAAGUCUGACGGAGCAACGCCGCGUGCAGGAAGACGCUUUUCGGAGUGUAAACUGCUUUUCUGUGGGAAGAGAACGGACGGUACCACAGGAAGAAGCCCCGGCUAACUACGUGCCAGCAGCCGCGGUAAUACGUAGGAGGCGAGCGUUGUCCGGAGUUACUGGGCGUAAAGGGCAUGCAGGCGGUCAGGCGCGUUUCGGGUGACAGCGGGUGGCUUAACUACCCGAGUGUUCGAAAGACGGCGUGACUUGAGCGCGAGAGAGGGACACGGAAUUCCGGGUGGAGUGGUGAAAUGCGUAGAGAUCCGGAGGAACACCGAAGGCGAAGGCAGUGUCCUGGCUCGCGACUGACGCUGAGGUGCGAAAGCUAGGGGAGCGAACGGGAUUAGAUACCCCGGUAGUCCUAGCCGUAAACGAUGACCACCAGGCGUGGGAGGUAUCGACCCCUUCUGUGCCGAAGGAAACCCAUUAAGUGGUCCGCCUGGGGAGUACGGUCGCAAGAUUAAAACUCAAAGGAAUUGACG